CCUAAAAUAAAUCUAAACUAAAAUUGGUAUACUUUCCAAUAAUAUGUUCUGAAUACAGCUGUUAACUCUUUAUUUUGUGUAAAUGGUGAUUGUGAUAAUGUGUGAUAAGUGUGCAGUUUAACUUGAAAGUGGUUUAAUGUAUAUGUUGCUGUAUUGUUUUAAAUUAUAUGUGAAUCAGUUUGUCACAGUCUAGUGAUACUGAUAAGAAUGACAGCCAAAUAACCUAGCAAAUAACUGUUUUAUUAGUUGUUGAAUACUAGUGUUUUGGCCAAGAAUAGUUGGAGAUUUGGAGGUGUUAGUUUAAGAUUGCUUUUAUAUUGUGUCUAUCUGUGUUUCCUAGGAGGGAGACAGAGUGUGUAGUUGUGUGCCCAUAAAUGUGAUUUCUGUAUUGGCAUAUCUGCUGGGUACCCAUUAUGUGUUUCUAUAAAGAUAUUGUUUUGUGAGAUGACGUGUAAUAUUACAUGGGAUGCUGAGUAUGAGUUAUAUGGUUUGAAAUGAAUUGGUGAUUAUGAGCUUAGUACUUCAGUAAGAUGUGCUAAAAUUUGGAACAAGGUGGAAGCUGAAAUGUUGGGAUUAUGGAAGAAUAGGUAGUCUAUAUUCACUGCUUUGGCAUAUAAGCAAGAUGCAAAGGAAGAGAUUGGUAAUAUGAUUUUUGUAAAGAAAUUUUACAAGUGUUGGAAGGAUGAGGCAGGUUUGAUGUCUGGAGAUGAUAUAGAUCUUUUUAAAAUACAGUCAUGCCUUGUUAAUAUGUUGCCACAGUAUUCUUUGCUUGUGAAACAAUUGAUUUCAGACUGGGCCAAUUUGGAUAGCUCAGAGUUUCUUACCAAGGUUAUAGAAAAGGAAAAUGCAGGUUGUUUUGAAUUAAGAAAAGAUUUAGGAAAGUAAGGUUGCUUAUUAUGCUCAGGGAUUGCCACCUACACAGGCUGAGAGCGAGGAUGGGAUGGAGCACAUAAAGCCCGUGGAAGGGGUGGUCAAAGAGGGGCAAGGGGAUGGAGACAGGGAAAUCAGGGUUAUAGGGGCAGGGGUAACCAAGGAGGAAUAGACAGGAACACUUGUUUCAACUGUGGCCAAUAUGGCCACUGGAGGAAUGAGUGUCCACACCCCAGGAAACCCCACACACCCCAACAACCCCACAAUUCUCAAAAUAUGCCCUGUAGGCAAGAACAACACCAGACCCACUCCCAACACCACUGGCCAGCAUAUCGCUUAGUUCAGGACUUUAGAGCCCUGAAUAGUUUAAUUGUGCCCAUUUCACCCAUUGUCCCUGAUGUGACAUCCCUCAUUACAGCCAUUCCACAUGAUGCCACUUGCUUCACUGUCAUUGAUUUAAGUAAUGCAUUUUUUUCUAUACCUAUUGAUCAAGAGACACAGCUACUUAUGGUUUUUAUUUUUUGAAGGCUGUCAGUUUACCUGGACACACUUACCCAAGGCUAUGUGGAUUCCCCAGCUGUUUAUUCGUUGGUACUCCAACAUACUCUAAAAAACAUGGACCACCGGUCAUGGUUCCGUCCUUUUUGCAAAAUGUUGAUGAUUUGUUGUUAUGUAGCCCUAGCUCUGAGGCAAGCACUGUGGAUACUGUCAGCAACUGUAGGUCACAAGGUUGUUAAACACAAAAUGCAAUUGUGUAAAUCAAAGGUUGAAUACUUAGGUUUUGUUCUGGCUUUAGGCACCAGACAAUUGAGUCCAAAACGUAUUGAGGUCAUUCAGAGGAUUCCAACACCCACUACUCGGAAGGAGUUGCUCACCUUCCUCGGCAUGAUUAAUUACUGCCACCAUGGAUCCCUGAAUGCUCCCAUUAUGACUCAAUCCUAAGGGAGGCUGUACGUUCUGACAGCCCUGAAAAUAUCUGCUGGUCACCAGACAUGCUAGCUGCAUAUAUUGCCCUUACAGUUGUUAUUGUGCAAGCCCAGGCUUUAGGACUACCUGUGUAUUGUAAACCAUUUCAUUUGUAUGCUUGGGACAAUUGUAAAACCAUGGCCGCAGUCUGUGCACAAGAG